rnacentral:rRNA from 1 species
AUACGGAGGAUGCAAGCGUUAUCCGGAUUUAUUGGGUUUAAAGGGUGCGUAGGCGGUUUGCUAAGCGGGAGGUGAAAUGCCGGCGCUCAACGUCGGAAGUGCCUCCCGAACUGGUGGACUUGAAUGACUCUGCCGUGGGAGGAAUGUGUAGUGUAGCGGUGGAAGGCUUAGAGAUUACACAGAACACCGAUUGCGAAGGCAUCUCACGAAGGGUUGAUUGACGCUGAGGCACGAAAGCGUGGGGAUCAAACAGGAUUAGAUACCCUGGUAGUCCACGCAGUAAACGAUGAUGGCUAACCGCUGGGCUUAUCAGUUCAGUGGCCAAGCGAAAGCGAUAAGCCAUCCACCUGGGGAGUACGACCGUAAGGUUGAAACUCAAAUGAAUUGGCGGGG